UACAGAGGUCUCGAGCGUUAGGCGGAAUCACUGGGCUUAAAGCGUGUGUAGGCGGAUCGGUAAGUACCUUGUGAAAUCCCACAGCUUAACUGUGGAACUGCUUGGUAUACUGCCAGUCUUGAGCCACUUAGGGGCUACCGGAACAAAUGGUGGAGCGGUGAAAUGCGUAGAUAUCAGGAGGAAUACCUAUGGCGAAAGCAGGUAUCUGGGCCAUCACUGACGCUGAGCUGCGAAAGCUAGGGGAGCAAACAGG
rnacentral:rRNA from 1 species